rnacentral:tRNA from 1 species
GAUUUUAAUUGUUAAAUGUUUUGAAAACAUUUAUUAAGAAUAAUUCUUUAAAAUCA